rnacentral:rRNA from 1 species
GAUGAACGCUAGCGGCAGGCUUAACACAUGCAAGUCGAGGGGCAGCAUAAUGAAGUAGCAAUACGGAAUUGAUGGCGACCGGCGCACGGGUGCGUAACGCGUAUGUAACCUACCUCUAACAGGGGGAUAACACUGAGAAAUUGGUACUAAUACCCCCAUAACACUUGAUAGGGCAUCCUAUUGAGUUGAAAGUUCCGGCGGUUAGAGAUGGACGUGCGUUGUAUUAGCUAGAUGGUGAGGUAACGGCUCACCAUGGCGACGAUACAUAGGGGGACUGAGACGGUUAACCCCCACACUGGUACUGAGACACGGACCAG